AGCAUUGUGGCUUAGUGGAAAGAGCCUGGGCCUGGAAGGCAGAGGACCUGGGUUCCAAUCCCAGCUCUGCCA
rnacentral:tRNA from 1 species